UUUAUGGAGAGUUUGAUCCUGGCUCAGGAUGAACGCUGGCGGCGUGCCUAAUACAUGCAAGUCGAGCGAACAGAUAAGGAGCUUGCUCCUUUGACGUUAGCGGCGGACGGGUGAGUAACACGUGGGUAACCUACCUAUAAGACUGGAAUAACUCCGGGAAACCGGGGCUAAUGCCGGAUAACAUGUUGAACCGCAUGGUUCUACAGUGAAAGACGGUCUUGCUGUCACUUAUAGAUGGACCCGCGCCGUAUUAGCUAGUUGGUGGGGUAACGGCCUACCAAGGCGACGAUACGUAGCCGACCUGAGAGGGUGAUCGGCCACACUGGAACUGAGACACGGUCCAGACUCCUACGGGAGGCAGCAGUAGGGAAUCUUCCGCAAUGGGCGAAAGCCUGACGGAGCAACGCCGCGUGAGUGAUGAAGGUCUUCGGAUCGUAAAGCUCUGUUGUUAGGGAAGAACAAAUGUGUAAGUAACUGUGCACAUCUUGACGGUACCUAACCAGAAAGCCACGGCUAACUACGUGCCAGCGGCCGCGGUAAUACGUAGGUGGCAAGCGUUAUCCGGAAUUAUUGGGCGUAAAGCGCGCGUAGGCGGUUUUUUAAGUCUGAUGUGAAAGCCCACGGCUCAACCGUGGAGGGUCAUUGGAAACUGGAAAACUUGAGUGCAGAAGAGGAAAGUGGAAUUCCAUGUAGCGGUGAAAUGCGCAGAGAUAUGGAGGAACACCAGUGGCGAAGGCGGCUUUCUGGUCUGCAACUGACGCUGAUGUGCGAAAGCGUGGGGAUCAAACAGGAUUAGAUACCCUGGUAGUCCACGCCGUAAACGAUGAGUGCUAAGUGUUAGGGGGUUUCCGCCCCUUAGUGCUGCAGCUAACGCAUUAAGCACUCCGCCUGGGGAGUACGGUCGCAAGACUGAAACUCAAAGGAAUUGACGGGGACCCGCACAAGCGGUGGAGCAUGUGGUUUAAUUCGAAGCAACGCGAAGAACCUUACCAAAUCUUGACAUCCUUUGACCGCUCUAGAGAUAGAGUUUUCCUCUUCGGAGGACAAAGUGACAGGUGGUGCAUGGUUGUCGUCAGCUCGUGUCGUGAGAUGUUGGGUUAAGUCCCGCAACGAGCGCAACCCUUGAACUUAGUUGCCAUCAUUCAGUUGGGCACUCUAAGUUGACUGCCGGUGACAAACCGGAGGAAGGUGGGGAUGACGUCAAAUCAUCAUGCCCUUAUGAUUUGGGCUACACACGUGCUACAAUGGACAAUACAAAGGGCAGCGAAACCGCGAGGUCAAGCAAAUCCCAUAAAGUUGUUCUCAGUUCGGAUUGUAGUCUGCAACUCGACUACAUGAAGCUGGAAUCGCUAGUAAUCGUAGAUCAGCAUGCUACGGUGAAUACGUUCCCGGGUCUUGUACACACCGCCCGUCACACCACGAGAGUUUGUAACACCCGAAGCCGGUGGAGUAACCAUUUUGGAGCUAGCCGUCGAAGGUGGGACAAAUGAUUGGGGUGAAGUCGUAACAAGGUAGCCGUAUCGGAAGGUGCGGCUGGAUCACCUCCUUUCU
rnacentral:rRNA from 1 species